AUGGCAUGGGUUCCCAAAGGAAGUGCUCAAAAUAAGAAUUAUGUGCAAGCUUCCAUUAUAAGAAGUGCGGUAAAGGUGAAGAAGGAAAAGAGUGAAAACUAUGAAGGACCAAGCCGAAGGUUUCAGCAUCUUCGGUCUACACAUUAUCAAUAUUCUUCAACUAUGCCACUAACGCCUUUGCCAUGGAAUUCGUCAUCAGGCGAAAGUAAGGAUUGGAGAAAGUUUAUUGUUGAUUAUCUACAAAAUCCUAGAAAAAUAGUGAACAAUAUGGUUCGGAGGAUGACCUUGAGAUACAUAUCUGUGGAACUUUAUCACCGGAUUGUUAAUGAAGCUGAGAAGGUUUCACCCAAGUUUGCAUCAGAAAGUUCACACAAGACAUGA
rnacentral:rRNA from 1 species